rnacentral:rRNA from 1 species
AUGAUGGCGGGUCUAUAAUGCAGUCGACGAACUCUGGUAUUGAUUGGUGCUUGCAUCAUGAUUUACAUUUGAGUGAGUGGCGAACUGGUGAGUAACACGUGGGAAACCUGCCCAGAAGCGGGGGAUAACACCUGGAAACAGAUGCUAAUACCGCAUAACAACUUGGACCGCAUGGUCCGAGUUUGAAAGAUGGCUUCGGCUAUCACUUUUGGAUGGUCCCGCKGCGUAUUAGCUAGAUGGUGGGGUAACGGCUCACCAUGGCAAUGAUACGUAGCCGACCUGAGAGGGUAAUCGGCCACAWUGGGACUGAGACACGGCCCAAACUCCUACGGGAGGCAGCAGUAGGGAAUCUUCCACAAUGGACGAAAGUCUGAUGGAGCAACGCCGCGUGAGUGAAGAAGGGUUUCGGCUCGUAAAACUCUGUUGUUAAAGAAGAACAUAUCUGAGAGUAACUGUUCAGGUAUUGACGGUAUUUAACCAGAAAGCCACGGCUAACUACGUGCCAGCAGCCGCGGUAAUACGUAGGUGGCAAGCGUUGUCCGGAUUUAUUGGGCGUAAAGCGAGCGCAGGCGGUUUUUUAAGUCUGAUGUGAAAGCCUUCGGCUCAACCGAAGAAGUGCAUCGGAAACUGGGAAACUUGAGUGCAGAAGAGGACAGUGGAACUCCAUGUGUAGCGGUGAAAUGCGUAGAUAUAUGGAAGAACACCAGUGGCGAAGGCGGCUGUCUGGUCUGUAACUGACGCUGAGGCUCGAAAGUAUGGGUAGCAAACAGGAUUAGAUACCCUGGUAGUCCAUACCGUAAACGAUGAAUGCUAAGUGUUGGAGGGUUUCCGCCCUUCAGUGCUGCAGCUAACGCAUUAAGCAUUCCGCCUGGGGAGUACGGCCGCAAGGCUGAAACUCAAAGGAAUUGACGGGGGCCCGCACAAGCGGUGGAGCAUGUGGUUUAAUUCGAAGCUACGCGAAGAACCUUACCAGGUCUUGACAUACUAUGCAAAUCUAAGAGAUUAGACGUUCCCUUCGGGGACAUGGAUACAGGUGGUGCAUGGUUGUCGUCAGCUCGUGUCGUGAGAUGUUGGGUUAAGUCCCGCAACGAGCGCAACCCUUAUUAUCAGUUGCCAGCAUUAAGUGGGCACUCUGGUGAGACUGCCGGUGACAAACCGGAGGAAGGUGGGGAUGACGUCAAAUCAUCAUGCCCCUUAUGACCUGGGCUACACACGUGCUACAAUGRAUGGUACAACGAKUUGCGAAMUMGCGAGAGUAAGCUAAUCUCUUAAAGCCAUUCUCAGUUCGGAUUGUAGGCUGCAACUCGCCUACAUGAAGUCGGAAUCGCUAGUAAUCGCGGAUCAGCAUGCCGCGGUGAAUACGUUCCCGGGCCUUGUACACACCGCCCGUCACACCAUGAGAGUUUGUAACACCCAAAGUCGGUGGGGUAACCUUUUAGGAACCAGCCGCCUAAGGUGACAGAUUAUGG